rnacentral:rRNA from 1 species
AUUGAACGCUGGCGGCAGGCUUAACACAUGCAAGUCGAGCGGAGAUGAGGUGCUUGCACCUUAUCUUAGCGGCGGACGGGUGAGUAAUGCUUAGGAAUCUGCCUAUUAGUGGGGGACAACAUUCCGAAAGGAAUGCUAAUACCGCAUACGCCCUACGGGGGAAAGCAGGGGAUCUUCGGACCUUGCGCUAAUAGAUGAGCCUAAGUCGGAUUAGCUAGUUGGUGGGGUAAAGGCCUACCAAGGCGACGAUCUGUAGCGGGUCUGAGGGGAUGAUCCGCCACACUGGGACUGAGACACGGCCCAGACGCCUACGGGAGGUAGCAGUGGGGAAUAUUGGACAAUGGGCGGAAGCCUGAUCCAGCCAUGCCGCGUGUGUGAAGAAGGCCUUUUGGUUGUAAAGCACUUUAAGCGAGGAGGAGGCUACCUGGAUUAAUACUCUAGGAUAGUGGACGUUACUCGCAGAAUAAGCACCGGCUAACUCUGUGCCAGCCGCCGCGGUAAAAC